CGCAUUUCCAUAAUCUGGAAAUUGUGACAGAUAUUUUGAGGGAGAGGAGGCUGCCUUUCUUUUUUCCCUGAGAAAACACUAAAAUAGGUUUUCUGGUUUCACCAGGCCAAGGAGCUGAAUUAACAUCACGGAAGCCUGUAGGAUACAGAUCUCGCCAUUUCCACCCUCCCUGGUCCUCAUUGUCGACUUGCUCAUCCUCGUGUCCCCUGUCAUUCAUUCAGCAAAUAGGCUGGAGUGCUUGCUCUGUGCCAGGUGUCGUGCCAGGUGCCAUGGAUUCUGCAGUGCACGAAAUGGCCAAGUCCAUGCUCCUUGCCCAGUGGGGGAGAUAGAAAAAAACAACAGGCAAAUAAAGAAAGGAGCAUGCUCAUUCCGCGUUGUGGGAAGUCAGGAGGACAGCAAACAGAGUGAAAGAAGCCUCUUUAGAAAGAGAGUGCUACGUUCUCUAUCACAUCGCCGAGGCACGACUGAAAACAAGACCUUCUCGGAGCCCGCAGGAAUGCUUGUAAGGAUUUAAGAAGUCCAGUUCCUGAAACCAGUGUUGGCCUAAGUUGGCGUCUGACCUUCUCUCCCAGCGGCCUGUCGAGCUCUUAGGAGAAGAACCACAUCUUCUUUUUCUUUGUGUCCUCAGAUCUCCCGCGGUGCUUGAUUUCUCAGCAAACAUUUGGUUAAAUUACUGUAUUGACCUGUCUGGCUCCUAUUCCUUAUGGGGUGCUUAGUUUUCGUCUAGUCGUUCACUCACUCCUCCAGUCUGACAGUCAUUCAUUCAACAGAUACCCGGGUGUGCCGGGCACGGGUUACCUGCGGAGAAAACGGCCGAGAUGGAGUGGGACGGACAGAGCCCAUGCUCGCCUGGAGGCGGGGGAGGCAGACAGUAAUCAGAUGACGGCUCAGACACCAUCACCAUGAGAGUUGUGAAGGGAGCACGCCGGGCAUCUUCCAGGAUCAAGGCAAAGCUGGAGGGGUUGUGAGCAAGGGGAGAGAGGCCCAAGCCAAGGUCAGUGAGGGGGCAGAAGCCAGAUCCUGUAGGGCCUGGCAGGCCAUAGGACUGCAUUUGGAUUUUAUUCUAAUGUAAUGAGAAGCUAAUGAGGGUUUUUGGCAAAGCCCAAUAUAUCUGGUUUAUGUUUUUUGGUGUGGUAUUUUUUUGCUGAGGACUGAGCUAACAUCUGUGCCAAACUUCCUCUUUUUUAUGUGGGAUGCUGCCACAGCUUGGAUUAAUGAGCGGUGUGUAGGUCCAUGCCCCGGAUCUGGGCCCGCAAACCCCAGGCCACUGAAGCAGAGAGUGUGGCCUUAACCAUUACGCGACCCAGCCAGCCUCUGAUUUAUGAUCUUUAAACAGCCUUUCGGCUGCUGUGUACUGUGUGG
rnacentral:lncRNA from 1 species